GAGAAGCUUGCUUCUCUGAUGUUAGCGGCGGACGGGUGAGUAACACGUGGAUAACCUACCUAUAAGACUGGGAUAACUUCGGGAAACCGGAGCUAAUACCGGAUAAUAUUUUGAACCGCAUGGUUCAAAAGUGAAAGACGGUCUUGCUGUCACUUAUAGAUGGAUCCGCGCUGCAUUAGCUAGUUGGUAAGGUAACGGCUUACCAAGGCAACGAUGCAUAGCCGACCUGAGAGGGUGAUCGGCCACACUGGAACUGAGACACGGUCCAGACUCCUACGGGAGGCAGCAGUAGGGAAUCUUCCGCAAUGGGCGAAAGCCUGACGGAGCAACGCCGCGUGAGUGAUGAAGGUCUUCGGAUCGUAAAACUCUGUUAUUAGGGAAGAACAUAUGUGUAAGUAACUGUGCACAUCUUGACGGUACCUAAUCAGAAAGCCACGGCUAACUACGUGCCAGCAGCCGCGGUAAUACGUAGGUGGCAAGCGUUAUCCGGAAUUAUUGGGCGUAAAGCGCGCGUAGGCGGUUUUUUAAGUCUGAUGUGAAAGCCCACGGCUCAACCGUGGAGGGUCAUUGGAAACUGGAAAACUUGAGUGCAGAAGAGGAAAGUGGAAUUCCAUGUGUAGCGGUGAAAUGCGCAGAGAUAUGGAGGAACACCAGUGGCGAAGGCGACUUUCUGGUCUGUAACUGACGCUGAUGUGCGAAAGCGUGGGGAUCAAACAGGAUUAGAUACCCUGGUAGUCCACGCCGUAAACGA
rnacentral:rRNA from 1 species